UACGUAGGGUGCAAACGUUGCUCGGAAUCACUGGGCGUAAAGGGCGUGUAGGCGGGAAUGUAAGUCGGGCGUGAAAAGCCCCCAGGCUCAACCUGGGAACUGCACUCGAAACUGCGUUUCUUGAGUAUCGGAGAGGAAAGCGGAAUACCUGGUGUAGAGGUGAAAUUCGUAGAUAUCAGGUGGAACACCAGUGGCGAAGGCGGCUUUCUGGACGAUUACUGACGCUGAGACGCGAAAGCGUGGGGAGCAAACAGG
rnacentral:rRNA from 1 species